AGCCGGGACCCGCGCAAUCGGUCUCUGAGAACCCCGCCAGGCCCGGAAGGGAGCAACGGUAUCAGAGAAAGAUGUGUUGCGGUAAGCUCGGCUAUC
rnacentral:SRP_RNA from 1 species